UUCAAUGUUUCUUAUUAUUGUGAUUAAUUCCUUUCAAUAAUCUCUCAAGAAGGAACAUCCUUUUACUAUCUGUAAGCCUGGAAUUACUAUGCAAGUGUGCUGAAGAGUGCUAGAGACAGGGAGACAGAAUGUGAGCAGGAAGCGCGUUCUGAGUCUUGAGAUUCUACUCAUCAAUGGAAUAUGCUGCCAUUAUUGCACUAAGCUGCCACAAAUAAGAGUUGUGCACUCUCAAGAGCAAAAGAGGAAACACAGCAGCAGUACUGCCAGUACUUUGCAGAGGCACAAGAAGCUUCAGAAAGAUGUUAAGAAGGAGAAAACCAGCAAAGGGAUGAAAAGUGCUACUGAAAAAAGUGAAUAGGUAAAU